CUCAACACGUCCAACUGGCACGGUACCAAUACCACCAAUCUUGUAGACAUCCUGCAAGGGGAGCCUGAGUGGCUUGUCUGAGGGCCUCUUGGGCUCAUUGAUUUGAUCAAGAGCCUCAAGGAGAGUUGGUCCCUUGUACCAGUCAAGGUUGGUGGACCUCUCAAUCAUGUUGUCACCCUCAAAUCCAGAGAUUGGAACAAAUGGAAUCUUGUCUGGGUUGUAACCAACCUUCUUCAAG
rnacentral:lncRNA from 1 species